ensembl:lncRNA
GUCAGGGAUUUGCCUUCAAAAGGAAGAAGAAGAUAAAACAUGAAUAAAACAAACUUCUCUGAAAAGAGGAAGAAAAUGCAAGAAUCACCAAUCCAGUUAGAGGAGGAAUAUCCCGAGCAUCUGAGACAUCUGUACCUGGCUGAAAAAGAACGACUAGAUGAAGAAGAAGAAGAAGAAAAGAUGUAAAGAGAGAACAUUCGAUGAAGAGACAGAAGCAGAUGAUGAACUAAAAACAGUGUUGGAUUUACCUUUUACUGAGAAACACAUCUCAAACACAACGACUGACCAAACUACCGUCUCUGAUUCAGAUGAUGAACCAGCAGAGACUGACAGAGACAGUAACAGAUACUCCCAUAAGACUCCAUUCAUCCAAAGGAAGCAGAAAAUGUCAUCGUAUCAGAAGACUAAGCAAGAAUAUGAAAGGAUAAAGGAGGAACGUGCAAGAAAACAAGAGGAAUUCUUGAAAGACAAAGCUCAGUGAGAGGAGGCGCUGAAAAUAUAUAAGGAGAAGAAAAUGGCCACAUAUCAGUUGUUGAAGAGAAAAACCAAGAAAGGUCAGCUCAACCUCAAUCUGCAUAUAGAGCUAUUGCUGCAAAAGAUUCAAGCUCAGCACAAAUAAUUCAGUAUCAACCAUAAAAUGAGACUGUUUAGAGUUAAAAUAGACCAUCACACAAUAAACUCUGCAGUUUGGGUGAGUGUUUUUUUCGUUUUUGACCACAAGGACGUGCAUGCCAUAUAUUUGUCUUUCUCAGUAAUAUUUCUUGUAAACACAAUUUUAAAUUGUUUUACUUGAGUUAAGUUUGUGAAAAAAAAUAUGAUGCUUUAGAUCUAUAUUUUAUUAUUAUAUUUAGCUAUAAAAUGCUGUCAAAAGCUGAACUGCCUAAAAGUGCUUUCUUAAACAUUUGUAAAAUUUUGCAUAAUUUCAUUUUUCUUCUAACCGUUCUUUUAAAAAUAUAUUUUUGUGACAUGAUGAAUGGAUGGUAUAUUUUGUUUAUUAAUUGAAGAGCAUUGAGAUCAAAAUAAAAGGCCAAAUACUAAAAUACAAAUACUCAAAUUUGUUGAUAAAGCAUUUAAACUUUCAUAAAAACAGAAGGCAUUGAUGCACUAGUAGAAAUAUAAGAAACUCUCAGUAGAACCAGUAACUGUAAUAUGACUAUAUCUCCUCAGAGUCAUAUGGCUCCUCCCACUUUAUUUGACUACUCCCCCACAUCAUCAAAGUCUGUUUAAAAAAACAAAAGCAUAUUUUUUCAUUAAUAUAAUAAUUAUAUCAUUAUUUAGUUUAAAUUGGGUUUAAAUUUUAAAUAUAAUGAUUGAAAGUAGAUUAUGUAAAAAGGUAACAAUAACCAACCCAGCAUGUUUCUCUCAUCUUCAUUGCUGUUCUUCACAUCAUCAUCAUACUCCUCCUGAUCUCCCUCUGAUACACAUGAAAUAAAACCUCACAUUGUAAUGUGUAACACAGCUUGUGUCACUGAUCUCUUUCUCCUCAUGACUGUCUGAGACUAUUCAAUUAAACCUGAUAAACCUGAUGAUUCAUUAAUGAUUUAAAUACAUGUUCAUUAUGUAACAUGAUAUAUAUAUAAUACAGCAGGUGAUGAUAAAAAGCAGUUCUGUGUGACUCACCUGUUACACAUUUAAAGUUCUGUCCAGUAAUUAUGACAUCAUCAUAAUGCUCCGGUGAGUCCACUACACAUACAUGAAGAUAUAAACAAAACAAAUGU